CAUAUGCUUGUCUCAAAGAUUAAGCCAUGCAUGUCUCAGUACAAGCCGCAUUAAGGUGAAACCGCGAAAGGCUCAUUAAAUCAGUUAUGGUUCCUUAGAUCGUACCCACAUUUACUUGGAUAACUGUGGUAAUUCUAGAGCUAAUACAUGCAAACAGAGUUCCGACCGGAGACGGGAGGAAUGCUUUUAUUAGAUCAAAACCAAUCGGCGGCGGGUUCGCGCCCGUUCGCCGCUCAACUUGGUGACUCUGAAUAACUUUCGGCUGAUCGCACGGUCUCGCACCGGCGACGCAUCUUUCAAAUGUCUGCCUUAUCAACUGUCGAUGGUAGGUUCUGCGCCUACCAUGGUCGUAACGGGUAACGGGGAAUCAGGGUUCGAUUCCGGAGAGGGAGCCUGAGAAACGGCUACCACAUCCAAGGAAGGCAGCAGGCGCGCAAAUUACCCACUCCCGGCACGGGGAGGUAGUGACGAAAAAUAACGAUACGGGACUCAUCCGAGGCCCCGUAAUCGGAAUGAGUACACUUUAAAUCCUUUAACGAGGAUCAAUUGGAGGGCAAGUCUGGUGCCAGCAGCCGCGGUAAUUCCAGCUCCAAU
rnacentral:rRNA from 1 species